AGCGAACGCUGGCGGCAGGCUUAACACAUGCAAGUCGAACGCCCCGCAAGGGGAGUGGCAGACGGGUGAGUAACCAGUGGGAACGUACCUUUUGGUUCGGAAUAACUUGGGGAAACUCAAGCCAAUACCGUAUAAGCCUUUAUGGGGAAAGGUUUACAGCCGAAGGAUCAGCCCGAGUCUGAUUAGCUAGUUGGUGAGGUAAUGGCUCACCAAGGCGACGAUCAGUAGCUGGUCUGAGAGGAUGAUCAGCCACACUGGGACCGAGACACGGCCCAGACUCCUACGGGAGGCAGCAGUGGGGAAUAUUGGACAAUGGGGGCAACCCUGAUCCACCAAUGCCGCGUGAGUGAUGAAGGCCUUAGGGUUGUAAAGCUCUUUUACCCGGGACGAUAAUGACUGUACCGGGAGAAUAAGCCCCGGCUAACUUCGUGCCAGCCGCCGCGGUAA
rnacentral:rRNA from 1 species